rnacentral:lncRNA from 1 species
AGGGGCUUCAGGGUGAAAAUGCGAUUUCUUUCCAUGUAUUUAUCUUCACACAUAACACUUUGGAUGUGGAAGUUAUUAAAAAGGAAUUUUACAUGAACAGCCUGAAAUACCCAAUCGGGCAGACAUUUAUCCCUGCGGGCUAUUUGUUGGGUGCACAUGGGUUGAAGACUCAGGAGGUUCAGACAGGAUAGAAUCCUUGUUUCCCUUAGGUCUUUGAUGCCUGAUAUGCUCAAGAUGCUCUGUGUUUCACUUCUUCCCAUAUGUGAACUUCAAGAUCUAGGCCUGAAAUUAUAAAAGGUGGUAAGAGGUCUCUAUGUUCACUACCAAUCCCAAGAUAUACCCUACAAUUCAACUUUGCAAAGGAAUAAAAUGGGUAACAAAUUUUAACUC